rnacentral:rRNA from 1 species
GUUUUUCGCUCUAUGAUGAGCCCGCGUGAGAUUAGCUAGUUGGUGAGGUAACGGCUCACCAAGGCGACGAUCUCUAGAUGGUCUGAGAGGAUGAUCAUCCACACUGGAACUGAGACACGGUCCAGACUCCUACGGGAGGCAGCAGUAGGGAAUAUUGCACAAUGGAGGAAACUCUGAUGCAGCGACGCCGCGUGAGUGAUGAAGGCCUUCGGGUUGUAAAGCUCUGUCGCACGGGAAUAAGAAAGUG